CUUCCAAGUUUCAAUGCACCGUACAUCGAUUUUGGCAGUAUUUAUAGUUUUGAAGUAUGAACCGACAUGCUAUUUCAAACAUGAUCCAUCAGAUCUUUCUAUCAUUAUAAGGGCUCGACAAAUUAGAAAAUCAUUAUUAUUUAGGGGAUCGUACCUGAAAUAAUUGCUUGCCAUCUGUCAACAUGUCAUUGGCUACCACUGGUGUCACACAG
rnacentral:lncRNA from 1 species